rnacentral:rRNA from 1 species
CAGGCCUAACACAUGCAAGUCGAACGAAGUAGCAAUACUUAGUGGCAGACGGGUGAGUAACAUGUGGGUAUCUGCCCUUUGGCCUGGAAUAACACGAGGAAACUUGUGCUAAUACUGGAUAAGUCUUUACGGAGAAAGCUUUAUGCACCAUUGGAUGAGCCCGCACUUGAUUAGUUUGUUGGUGGGGUAAUGGCCUACCAAGACUUUGAUCAAUAGCUGAUUUGAGAGGAUGAUCAGCCACAUUGGGACCGAGACACGGCCCAAACUCCUACGGGAGGCAGCAGUGGGGAAUCUUGCACAAUGGAGGAAACUCUGAUGCAGCGAUGCCGCGUGAGUGAAGAAGGCCCUUGGGUUGUAAAGCUCUUUCGUCGGGGAAGAAAAUGACUGUACCCGAAUAAGAAGGUCCGGCUAACUUCGUGCCAGCAGCCGCGGUAAUACGAAGGGACCUAGCGUAGUUCGGAAUUACUGGGCUUAAAGAGUUCGUAGGUGGUUGAAAAAGUUGGUGGUGAAAUCCCAGAGCUUAACUCUGGAACUGCCAUCAAAACUUUUCAGCUAGAGUAUGAUAGAGGAAAGCAGAAUUUCUAGUGUAGAGGUGAAAUUCGUAGAUAUUAGAAAGAAUACCAAUUGCGAAGGCAGCUUUCUGGAUCAU